rnacentral:lncRNA from 1 species
CACCUAAGCAGCUCCCUAUUUGCGUGUAACUGCUUCCUCCAGCCACAUGGUAAUGCCUUGUUUAUGACCUGGUAGUCUAAAGAGCAAGGUGUUUUAGAGUAAGACAUAUGUGGAAGCUACCUCAGAUGUUAUCAGAUUCUUCUGUCCUUCCUUCGACCCUUUCAAAAAGCACAUGAGGAAACUGAGGUCCAUAAAAGCCAUUGGAAUGGCAAAGGGAGAGAGAAGGUGGAAUCCGCUUUUAUUCAAUUCUGCAUUAAAUAAUGUCCUUAAUUACUAAAGUGAAGUUCUGCUAUGUCUGAUGGGGAAGAGGCAUCUUGGCCAUCAUACAGACACAGGAAGGACCUGGAAUCUUGAUUAUUGCCCACAAGGGAGGAUACUCUCUUCUAUUUGCAGUGUGCAGAAAUAUCCAUGUCAAUGAGGAUGACAUUGAUCCCCAAUCCCAGUAGAAGCAUUCAAGUCUAAUCACAUUUAUGAGGGAGUAAAAAUAACAAAAGCAGAUUCAUAACACUGGUGUGCAUCACAUCAAAGGAGAAGAGGUGGUGGUAAGGUAAGCUUGCUUGUCCCAUGCCUGAUGCCGGGCCAUUCACUCCAGUGUAAGAACACUCAACUUGUGAACAUUGAGAUACAUUGUAUGUUUCUCUCCAUACUCUAACGUUUCACACCACACAGCAACACAACUCUUCCACCAUGGUUAUUCAGGGAACUUCCUAAGUCAGUGUCUCCUCCACCACUUCCUUUUAUCCACCUCAG